GUCGAUUUCUGCCGCACCAGAUAAGACCUUAGAGUCUGUACUUUCCCUACAAUAACACAAUUAUACACCUAGCCAAAGAACUUCUUAAAAAAAAGACACAAUUUGACAAAUGAUCCAAAAUUUUAUUAACAGUGUUAUAUUUUGUGGUUAGCAAUGUAUAAAAUGUAAUCAUAGCAAUAAAAUAACUACAGUCAGAAGAAGCCAGGUACUGCUGGUUCGAGACCUUAAAGCAGUUCUGUCACUUUUGGGGUCUUUGUAUAUUUUGGUGGGUGGUCACAGGGAAGGGAGGCUGAAGGUAAAUAUACUAACCUGAAGCUCUCCCUCAUGGGGACUACAUCUUUCUACUGUCUUCAAUUCAUCCAUCUUCAGCUAUUUAUAAAGCACCAACAAGUUCCGCAGCGCUGUACAAUGGGACAUUAGAUGUGCAAAGUACAGCAGGAGGUCUAUGGUUGAAUCUGUAAGAUGGCAGGAUCCUCCAUUAAUCCACUCUCAUGACAUGUGCACAGAUGUCUCUUUCUCUGGAAAUUGAUUAACCCCUUAAGACCGGAGGGCGUACAAUUACGCCCUAUUUUAGGCCCUCCGGUCUUUUCUUACUUACCCGGUCGACGGCAGUCCACACAAACAGAUACUAACGCUAACUUUGGCCAGUGUUUGUGACCAAAUGGCUACUAAAAAAGACUAGACAUACCCCAUUUGCAAUACCUUGGGUUGUCUACUGUUGCAAAUGGUAUGCCAUUAUGGGUGUAGAUUUUAUUCCUGGGCUACUAUAAAGUCCCAAAGGCAACGUAACCAUCUGGCGAAUUUCAAUUUCAAAUGUAACGUGCUAUAUUUGACCCUGUAACUUCCCAAAACACCAUAAAACCUGUACAUAGGGGGUACUGUCUUACACAUGAGACUUUGCUGAAUACAAAUAUGUGUAUUUUAUUGCAGUAAAAGCAAACAGUAUUAAGACAUUGACAGUUAAAAUGUCAUGUAGAACUAAAAAAAUAAAAAAGAAUCUUAUUUUCUCCCAUUUUUUUCAUAUUAAAUCAUGUUUCAUAGCUAAAUAUUUGAUAUUAAAUGAAAGCCCUGUUUCCCCUGAAUAAAAUGAUAUAUAAUAAGGGUGGGUGCAUUUACUAUGAAAGAGGUGAAUUACGGUUGGACAGACAUGUAGCGCAAAUGCCAGGUUUGGUUUACAUUUUGUUUCGUUCACAACGUGUACAUUUGGCUCCGUCCUUAAGGGGUUAAACCUGACAGCAGAAACUGCACCUUUAGUCAAGUUUUACUAACUCCAGUUCCGCCCAUAAGAUAAUUUGUUGCCUGUUUUGUGUUAUGAUAUCUUUCAACUGUGUUAGAAUUUCGGGGAAAUCCCAGUGCACUCAAUGUAAGUGCUUAAUAAAUGUGUUUAUCUUAAAAUGCUCAGAAGUGACAGAACUGCUUUAACUGUGGAAAGUCUCCUCCCUGUAAAAAAUGAAUGAACCCUUUGGAAGCUCCGCUGUAUUACUCAGGAACAACGAGAUUCAUUUAUUUUUAUUGACACCAAAUCCCAUUUACAAUUGUGAUUAAUAGAGUGGCUUGUGGUAAAUGCACCCGCUACACCCCACUAGAGUCCCCAGACUACUCUUUAAAACAAUAUUCAGGUCUCUCCUAACUCCCUGUGAUUAGGAGUCAGGAGAGGCUUAGAGGUGAAUCUACCGUAGUCAUUGUUCUAAUUCACCCACAUCCUGGUUAAAACAUGAAUAUUCCACUUUAUUUAGUUUCACAUUGUGAUACUGUGAAUGACAGAGAGGUUUGUGGGUAAGCAGAUAACUAUAAUCACUGCCAAACCAACUCUGCCCUUUAAAAAUUAUACGAAAAGUGAUCAAAGGUAAAUAUAAGAGACAUUUCUGUACUUGGGGGAUCUUUCAGAAUACAGAUUCAGGGUAUUAUUAAAAAGUCCCAUAGGUAUACACCUUGGGGAAGGCCUGGACUUUCAAUCGAGCAAACUGGGCAAAUGCCACAUGGGCCAUGAGGUAAACAGGGGAGAUCAAACUAUUUUUCUAGGUAGGGCUGAUGCUAUCCAAGUGCCUGCUCAACACAAGGCUGGCGCUUGCACACACCCAUACCCACACUGGUACAUAAAUCCACUCUUAUGACACGUUAUGUGUACCAGUGUGGGUGUGUACACGUUAUGUGUAGUAGUAUGUGUACCAGUGUGAGUGUGUACACGUUAUGUGUAGUAGUAUGUGUACCAGUGUGGGUGUGUGCACGUUAUGUGUAGUAGUAUGUGUACCAGUGUGAGUGUGUACACGUUAUGUGCAGUAGUAUGUGUACCAGUGUGGGUGUGUGCACGUUAUGUGUAGUAGUAUGUGUACCAGUGUGGGUGUGUACACGUUAUGUGUAGUAGUAUGUGUACCAGUGUGAGUGUGUACACAUUAUGUGCAGUAGUAUGUGUACCAGUGUGGGUGUGUACACGUUAUGUGUAGUAGUAUGUGUACCAGUGUGGGUGUGUGCAUGUUAUUUGCAGUAGUAUGUGUACCAGUGUGAGUGUGUACACGUUAUGUGCAGUAGUAUGUGUACCAGUGUGGGUGUGUGCACGUUAUGUGUAGUAUUAUGUGUUCCAGUGUGGGUGUGUACAUGUUAUGGGCAGUAGUAUGUGUACCAGUGUGGGUGUGUACACGUUAUGUGUACCAGUGUGGGUGUGUGCAUGUUAUGUGUAGUAGUAUGUGUACCAGUGCGGGUGUGUGCACAUUAUGGGCAGUAGUAUGUUUACUAGUGUGGGUGUGUGUGUGUGCACGUUAUGUGUAGUAGUAUGUGUGCCAGUGUGGGUGUCCAUGUCUCCCUUUGUGUCUAUGUCCUUUUUGUCUCCAUGUCUUCCUUGUGUCCUCAUUUGUGUCUAUGCCCACCCCGUCCACUCCUGUGUCCAUUGUGUCACUUUGUGUCGAUGUCCAUCCAUGUUCCCUUGUCUCUCUUGUAUCUAUGUCUCCUCAUAUGUCCCUGUCUACAUGUUCCCCUUGUGUUCAUGUCUCUCCCAUACCCUCCUGAGACCGUAUGUGUUAGCUGCUUGAAGUGUGUUGUGUGUAUGGAGGGUUGAUGGUCAGAGGGAGAGGGGGGGUGAUGGUGAGAGGGAGAGGGGGGGUAAUGCGAGAGGGGGGUAGAUAGGCAGAGGGGGGUAAUGCGAGAGGCUGAGGGUGGUGAGGGGUGAGGCUGAGGGUGGUGUCGGGGUGGUGAGGCUGAGGGUGGUGUGGGGGUGACGCUGAGGGUGGUGAUGCUGAGGGUGGUGGGGGUGUGUGAGGGUUGGUGAGGCUGUUGGGG